AAUGGAUUUGUAAAUUUUGAGAUAUAAUGAAUUUUGUGAGACAAUGUCAGAAUGAAUUCGGGUUCCCCUGUUCUGACUUUGAAAAAUCAUAAAAAAAAUUAAGAAAAACAAUUAUGGGCUUAAAUUUAUAUGUAUAGAAUCCUUUAUGAGUCUAUUUUUAAGAGAAACAAACGAGAACAUUAUUUGAAUUCUUUAUGGAGAGAUAAUUAAUUUUUAGUGAAGAAGGG
rnacentral:lncRNA from 1 species